CUCCCUGAUGUUAGCGGCGGACGGGUGAGUAACACGUGGGUAACCUGCCUGUAAGACUGGGAUAACUCCGGGAAACCGGGGCUAAUACCGGAUGCUUGAUUGAACCGCAUGGUUCAAUUAUAAAAGGUGGCUUUUAGCUACCACUUACAGAUGGACCCGCGGCGCAUUAGCUAGUUGGUGAGGUAACGGCUCACCAAGGCAACGAUGCGUAGCCGACCUGAGAGGGUGAUCGGCCACACUGGGACUGAGACACGGCCCAGACUCCUACGGGAGGCAGCAGUAGGGAAUCUUCCGCAAUGGACGAAAGUCUGACGGAGCAACGCCGCGUGAGUGAUGAAGGUUUUCGGAUCGUAAAACUCUGUUGUUAGGGAAGAACAAGUACCGUUCGAAUAGGGCGGUACCUGACG
rnacentral:rRNA from 2 species